rnacentral:rRNA from 1 species
GACAGAAAGACCCUAUGAACCUUUACUGUAGCUUGGAAUUGAAUUCGGGUUUACUUCGCGCAGUAUAGGUGGGAGGCUUAGAGAGUAUAUUUGUGGAUAUGCAAGAGCCACCAGUGAGAUACCACUCUUGGUAAGCUAGGUUUCUAAUUUUGAAUGCCAUGACCUGGCCAAAAGACAGUUCCAGGUGGGCAGUUUGACUGGGGCGGUCGCCUCCUAAAAAGUAACGGAGGCGUGCAAAGGUUUCCUCAGGCUGGUCGGAAAUCAGUCGUAGAGUGUAAAGGCAUAAGGAAGCUUGACUGCAAGACCUACAAGUCGAGCAGAGACGAAAGUCGGCCUUAGUGAUCCGACAGUACCGAGUGGAAGGGCUGUCGCUCAACGGAUAAAAGGUACUCUAGGGAUAACAGGCUGA